AACAUAAUACAUCCCCCCCUUUCAGACUACAAUUACACUAUGCGGUGCAAUACUUGCGUCACUUUCCCGCCCGAACUUAGCGUCUGUCGUCCCUCCCUUUCCUUCCCUUCCCCCUACCAGCGCACGCACCUCGGAAUUGUUAUCAGCCCUUGCUUGUCAAUCCCCUAUCAGUUAAAGUCAUCCACCCUUACAUAGAUUUUUUCCGCUGCUCCACAUGAAAUUUCGUCACCUUGCACAUGAAGAGACCGUACCCAUAUAUAAACUACCCUAGUUUUCCCUUCAUUUUGAAUUAAAACGUGAUAGAUUAUUAAUCCGCUACUUGGCUUCCUUGUCCGUGCAACGGGGGCGCCGCAGGGCUGGUAUAAAAUGCGGGGAGCGUCGUCUGAGGGGGCAGUGGAACGCCAGCACUCGUCGAGCGAGCAACUCUCCCGGCCUCUGGGCCACCUAUAGACUGCUGAGUUGCUCGCUCGGCUCAGCUACGGGCUGCUACUGGGCGCCUGCUUGGAGGGCCCGUGCCUCCGUCGCUGCUCGCCGGCUUCUACCCGUGGCUGUGGCGGCGGCGGAGGCUUCCCCACACCCGCCGCACGCCAGCGGCGGGUUUCCCCCUGCGACGGGCCGUCAGUCGACAAAGGCCCGUUCCCCCUUUUUAGGGGGUAAAUCCUCAAAGUAAAAGUCUGAGGGCUCAGUGGACCGCCAGCACUCGUCGAGCGAGCAACUCUCCCGGCCUCUGGGCCACCUAUAGACUGCUGAGUUGCUCGCUCGGCUCAGCUACGGGCUGCUCCUGAGCGCCUGCUCGGAGGGCCCGUGCCUCCGUCGCUGCUCGCCGGCUUCUACCCGUGACUGGCGGCGGCGGAGGCUUCCCCACACCCGCCGCACGCCAGCGGCGGGUUCCCCCCUGCGACGGGCCGUCCAUCGACAAAGGCCCGUUCCCCCUUUUUAGGGGGUAAAUCCCUAACGAACGUCUGAGGGCAGUGGAACGCCAGCACUCGUCGAGCGAGAAACUCUCCCGGCCUCUGGGCCACCUAUAGACUGCCGAGUUGCUCGCUCGGCUCAGCCACGGGCUGCUACUGGGCGCCUGCUUGGAGGGCCCGUGCCUCCGUCGCUGCUCGCCGGCUUCUACUCGUGGCUGUGGCGGCGGCGGAGGCUUCCCCACACCCGCCGCACGCCAGCGGCGGGUUCCCCCCUGCGACGGGCCGUCGGUCGACAAAGGCCCGUUCCCCCUUUUUAGGGGGUAAAUCCUUAAAUGCACACAAAAGAACAAGGAGCGUGGUCGAGAGAGGCAUCGGUCAGCUCAAACGCCGAUUUCACGUCCUGCACGGAGAAAUCAGGCUCGAACCCAGAAAAGCUUGCAGAGUCAUUAUGGUGUGUGGCAUACUCCACAACAUUUGCAAGCUACGUAACAUCGAGCUUGACGAAGAGGAUGACAUUGGUGAUGAGCCUGCUGGUGAUGAGGGGUUCCAGCCAGAGGAUGGCAGACCUGCUGCUGUCCAUGAAGGGGGGCUCUUCAGAGAACACAUUGCUCGCCAACAUUUUAGGGUUGCGGCAUAAGCUGUUGCAAUGGCCCCCCUUCAACAGCUCUACAACUACAACUUGUAAAGCACUUUUGGACAAAGUUGGUUCUGCAUGGGAUCUUCAUGCAAGGAUGUAGAAUAAAUUACAUGUUUCAGAACUAUUUUGUUUAUUGUUCUCCCUUAAGUUUCUUGGUCAAUGCGAUUUUAUACAAUGCCUCUGCGUCACAGGCCCUCUUUUGGGCCAUCACAUGUGCAA